GAUGAACGCUAGCGAUAGGCUUAACACAUGCAAGUCGAGGGGCAGCAUGGUCUUAGCUUGCUAAGACUGAUGGCGACCGGCGCACGGGUGCGUAACGCGUAUGCAACUUGCCUCACAGAGGGGGAUAACCCGUCGAAAGACGGACUAAUACCGCGUACACUUGGGAUAGGGCAUCCUGACCCAAGGAAAUGAAAUUCGCUGUGAGAUAGGCAUGCGUCCCAUUAGCUAGUUGGUGAGGUAACGGCUCACCAAGGCGACGAUGGGUAGGGGAACUGAGAGGUUGAACCCCCACACUGGUACUGAGACACGGACCAGACUCCUACGGGAGGCAGCAGUGAGGAAUAUGGGUCAAUGGGCGAGAGCCUGAACCAGCCAAGUCGCGUGAAGGAUGACUGUCUUAUGGAUUGUAAACUUCUUUUAUACGGGAAUAACAAGAGUCACGUGUGGCUCCCUGCAUGUACCGUAUGAAUAAGCAGCGGCUAACUCCGUG
rnacentral:rRNA from 1 species